ensembl:lncRNA
AUGAUACUGUUAGGGUUGCGGGUGCAGGCAGGCAGGUAGGACCCAGACGCAGACGGUUUCGGGAAAACUGCACUUUAUUUAUGCCUAAAGGCUAAGGCAAGGAACCAGGGAACUCAGGUGACAACAGGGAACACGCAGGACGAACAACCACAAUGAUAGCACAAGGAACAAAGGAAAGACAAGGGCUUAAGUAACAAACACAACGAGGAACAGCUGAGACACAUUAGGGGAGGGAACAGUAAUCAACACAGGAGGGAAACACAGGGAAACACACCAAAACACGACAGACCAUGACCGUACCCCCCCUUAAGGGUCGACUCCCAGGCGACCUACGACAAGCAAAAAAACGAAGAAAGUCAAACCCAAAACGGGUGGGUGGAGGGGCGCCAGGAGGGGGGAAUCAAAAAAAAAUAAAUGGACUGUGACAGAGCGGGGGGACGUCAGGCGGGCGGCCAGAAAACUGCCCCAGGGCAUGGCAGGGAGCCUCAGGCGGACGGCCUGGGGGCAAGCAGAGGCAGAGUGAAGGCGGAACCCUUCGGGAGGCCGGCGGCAAGGACGAUGAGGGCUCAGUUCCUCAGGAGGCCUGCAGCGGCAAGGAGACCCCUCUGAAGGCCGGCAGCGGCGAAGGCGGAAACCUUCAGGAGGCAGGCGAAGGCGAGGUAGAGGGCGGGUCCCCUCAGGAGGAAGGCGAGGUGGAGGGCGGGUCCCCUCUGGAGGAAGGAGAGGUAGAGGGCGGAUCCCCUCUAGUGGAAGACCAGGUAGAGGGUGGGUCCCCUCUGGUGGAAGGCCAGGAAGAGGGCGGGUCCCCUCUGGUGGAAGGCCAGGAAGAGGGCG